GAUGAACGCUGGCGGCGUGCCUAAUACAUGCAAGUCGAGCGAACGGACGAGAAGCUUGCUUCUCUGAUGUUAGCGGCGGACGGGUGAGUAACACGUGGAUAACCUACCUAUCAGACUGGGAUAACUUCGGGAAACCGGAGCUAAUACCGGAUAAUCUUUUGAACCGCAUGGUUCAAAAGUGAAAGUCGGUCUUGCUGUCACUUAUAGAUGGAUCCGCGCUGCAUUAGCUAGUUGGUAAGGUAACGGCUUACCAAGGCAACGAUGCAUAGCCGACCUGAGAGGGUGAUCGGCCACACUGGAACGGAGACACGGUCCAGACGCCUACGGGAGGCAGCAGUAGGGAAUCUUCCGCAAUGGGCGAAAGCCUGACGGAGCAACGCCGCGUGAGUGAUGAAGGUCUUCGGAUCGUAAAACUCUGUUAUUAGGGAAGAACAGAUGUGUAAGUAACUGUGCACAUCUUGACGGUACCUAAUCAGAAAGCCACGGCUAACUACGUG
rnacentral:rRNA from 1 species